UGGGGAAUCUUGCACAAUGGGGGCAACCCUGAUGCAGCGACGCCGCGUGAGCGAUGAAGCCCUUCGGGGCGUAAAGCUCUUUCGACCGGAACGAUAAUGACGGUACCGGGAGAAGAAGCUGCGGCUAACUACGUGCCAGCAGCCGCGGUAAUACGUAGGCAGCAAGCGUUGUUCGGAGUUACUGGGCGUAAAGAGUGCGUAGGCGGUUUUCUAAGUUCGGUGUGAAAUCUCCCGGCUUAACUGGGAGGGUGCGCCGAAGACUGGGAAGCUGGAGUGUGGGAAAGGAGAGUGGAAUUCCUGGUGUAGCGGUGAAAUGCGUAGAUAUCAGGAGGAACACCGGUGGUGUAGACGGCUCUCUGGACCGUAACUGACGCUGAGACACGAAAGCGUGGGUAGCAAACA
rnacentral:rRNA from 1 species